AACGUAGGUGGCGAGCGUUAUCCGGAUUCAUUGGGCGUAAAGAGCUUGUAGGUGGCGGCGUAAGUUGGACGUGAAAAUCGCCCGGCUCAACCGGGCGGGGGUCGCUCAAUACUGCGCGGCUGGAGGAGGUCAGAGGGAAGUGGAAUUCCUGGUGUAGCAGUGAAAUGCGUAGAUAUCAGGAAGAACACCGGUGGCGAAGGCGGUUCUCUGGGCCUUACCUGACGCUGAGGAGCGAAAGCGUGGGGAGCGAACAGG
rnacentral:rRNA from 1 species